GGCUUAACACAUGCAAGUCGAACGGUAACAGGGGAAAGCUUGCUUUCUUGCUGACGAGUGGCGGACGGGUGAGUAAUGCUUGGGAAUCUGGCUUAUGGAGGGGGAUAACGACGGGAAACUGUCGCUAAUACCGCGUAGAGUCGAGAGACGAAAGUGCGGGACCGCAAGGCCGCAUGCCAUGAGGUGAGCCCAAGUGGGAUUAGGUAGUUGGUGGGGUAAAGGCCUACCAAGCCGACGAUCUCUAGCUGGUCUGAGAGGAUGACCAGCCACACCGGGACUGAGACACGGCCCGGACUCCUACGGGAGGCGGCAGUGGGGAAUAUUGCGCAAUGGGGGCAACCCUGACGCAGCCAUGCCGCGUGAAUGAAGAAGGCCUUCGGGUUGUAAAGUUCUUUCGGUGACGAGGAAGGUUGUUGUGUUAAUAGCGCGACAAAUUGACGUUAAUCACAGAAGAAGCACCGGCUAACUCCGUGCCAGCAGCCGCGGUAAUACGGAGGGUGCGAGCGUU
rnacentral:rRNA from 1 species